AACAAGGAAGCCGAAAAUUGUUAAGAGUAGGCA
rfam:Bacteroidetes bacterium GWA2_32_17 gwa2_scaffold_2088, whole genome shotgun sequence.